GAUGAACGCUGGCGGCGUGCUUAACACAUGCAAGUCGAACGGAAAGGCCCAAGCUUGCUUGGGUACUCGAGUGGCGAACGGGUGAGUAACACGUGGGUGAUCUGCCCUGCACUUCGGGAUAAGCCUGGGAAACUGGGACUAAUACCGGAUAGGACGAUGGUUUGGAUGCCAUUGUGGAAAGUUUUUUCGGUGUGGGAUGAGCUCGCGGCCUAUCAGCUUGUUGGUGGGGUAAUGGCCUACCAAGGCGUCGACGGGUAGCCGGCCUGAGAGGGUGUACGGCCACAUUGGGACUGAGAUACGGCCCAGACUCCUACGGGAGGCAGCAGUGGGGAAUAUUGCACAAUGGGCGCAAGCCUGAUGCAGCGACGCCGCGUGGGGGAUGACGGCCUUCGGGUUGUAAACUCCUUUCGCUAGGGACGAAGCGUUUUGUGACGGUACCUGGAGAAGAAGCACCGGCUAACUACGUG
rnacentral:rRNA from 1 species